UCCCUGAUAGUCUAGUGGUCAAGACUCUGCACUUCCACUGCAGGGAGAACAGGCUUGAUUUCUGGUCAGCAAA
rnacentral:tRNA from 1 species